rnacentral:rRNA from 1 species
GACGAACGCUGGCGGCGUGCUUAACACAUGCAAGUCGAACGGAGUGGCGAACGGGUGAGUAACACGUGGGUGAUCUGCCUUGCACUUCGGGAUAAGCUUGGGAAACUGGGUCUAAUACCGGAUAGUGCAAGAUGAGCUCGCGGCCUAUCAGCUCGGUGGUGGGGUAAUGGCCUACCAGGGCGUCGACGGGUAGCCGGCCUGAGAGGGUGUACGGCCACAUUGGGACUCAGAGACGGCCCAGAGGCCGACGGGAGGCAUCAGUGGGGAAUGUUGCACAAUGGGCGGAGGCCGGAUGCAGCGACGCCGCGUGGGGGAUGAUGGCCUUCGUGUUGUAAUCUCCUUUCGACAGGGACGCGGUACCUGUAUAAGAAGCACCGGCUAACUACGUGCCAGCAGCCGCGGUAAUAC